GCCAUGAUGGAUGUGUCGGAAACUACAAAGCAUGGGCGGAGUAUAACUGUCGCAAGUCGUGCGGUUUCUGCGGAUCACAAACGCCAGUGCCUGCUACUACAGCACCCCACGUCCCGAUUAUUGGACACCUAACUCCAGUACCUGGAUCAGGUAAUCAGAACUGCCGAGAUAAACUAACAACGUGCCACACGUACACCCAGGAUGCUUGCCACGACCCUUACCUUCAAUGGGCCAAGACCAACUGUGCCAAGUACUGCGGUU